rnacentral:rRNA from 1 species
GAUGAACGCUGGCGGCGUGCCUAAUACAUGCAAGUCGAGCGAACAGACGAGGAGCUUGCUCCUCUGACGUUAGCGGCUGACGGGUGAGUAACACGUGGAUAACCUACCUAUAAGACUGGGAUAACUUCGGGAAACCGGAGCUAAUACCGGAUAAUAUAUUGAACCGCAUGGUUCAAUAGUGAAAGACGGUUUUGCUGUCACUUAUAGAUGGAUCCGCGCCGCAUUAGCUAGUUGGUAAGGUAACGGCUUACCAAGGCGACGAUGCGUAGCUGACCUGAGAGGGUGAUCGGCCACACUGGAACUGAGACACGGUCCAGACUCCUACGGGAGGCAGCAGUAGGGAAUCUUCCGCAAUGGGCGAAAGCCUGACGGAGCAACGCCGCGUGAGUGAUGAAGGUCUUCGGAUCGUAAAACUCUGUUAUUAGGGAAGAACAAAUGUGUAAGUAACUAUGCACGUCUUGACGGUACCUAAUCAGAAAGCCACGGCUAACUACGUG